ACCCUUCCUCUUCCAACCAAAGCUUUCAUUUUUCACUCCACAGCUGCACUGCACACUCCCUUUCCCAGCCAAAGCUUCUUUGUCUUGUAGUUGGAGAAGGAACUCUAGCAUGUAACUCAUUGGAUCUUACUAGUUCCAGGUUGUUGGCUGUAACCUGAAUGGUUGAAAUGUUUUACCACAUAAUGCAUCCAAGCUCUGCUGUCCUAUUCUGAAGUCAGCAAUAUUGGCUCCAGCAAAAUUUAAUUAGUCUACAACAUCAGCAAUUUUUCAGUUAUGACAUGUAUUUUUCUUGAAAAAUUUUACAGAAAAGUAGCAGAUAGGCUAGGGGAUCCAGCUAAGUGGAGUGAGAUUGUUGAUGUUAUAGCAGCAUUGUCUAUUUCAGUUAUUGCUAAUGCGUAUGUUUUUUAGUAUGAUGAUUUUUAACGCAUUAAAAGUGUCAGAUAUUGUCUAAUUGUUUUUUUAUUUCUUCAAACUUCAUAGUGUGAUGGAAUUAGCAAUGUCAAUUUAUGAAGCAAUGAUUUGGACAUUUAA